UUGAACAGUCUCCCGGUUAAAACGUGUUAUUAAACAAAUAAAAACUUAAAACCCGCCAAUCAAACGACUUCAAAGUCAAUACUUAUCCGCCAUAACCGUCACCCAAUUCCUGCAAAUCCGAUCACCAAACCCUAGCUCCACUCCAUGAAAACCACUUCCACCGUCUUCACAACCACACUUCUCCUCUUACUAUGCAUCAAUCCACUGUCAAUCACCGCAGAGGACGACGUCAAGUGUCUCCGAGGCGUUCAGCGAUCACUCGACGAUCCUCAAUCCGAGCUCUCCACGUGGAACUUCUCCAACAGCACCAGAGGAUUCAUCUGCAGCUUCUCCGGCGUUACCUGCUGGAACGAUCAGGAAAACCGCUUAAUCUCCCUCACUUUACGUGAUUUCAGACUCGCCGGAUCGAUUCCGUCGGAUUUGCAGUUUUGUGAGAGCUUACAGAACCUAGAUCUGUCAGGUAAUAACCUCUCUGGAUCUAUUCCUGGUGGAAUUUGUAGCUGGUUGCCUUAUUUAGUUAGGUUAGAUUUGUCGAAUAACGGUUUUACUGGUGAAAUUCCGGCUAGUUUAGGUAAUUGUUCGUUUUUGAAUACAGUUGUGUUGUCUGGAAAUAAGUUGACUGGUGGUAUACCGGCUGAGAUAUCGAAUUUAGGUAGGUUAAGUAUGUUUUCGGUUGCGGAUAAUGAUUUAUCUGGCUCGAUUCCAUCGAGUUUGUCGAAGUUUGAUUCGUCGGAUUUUGAUGGAAAUAGGGGACUUUGUGGUAAGCCGGUUGGAAAGUGUGGUGGUUUGAGUAAGAAGAGUUUGACGAUUAUUGUUGCGGCCGGUGUGGUUGGGGCGGUUGGUUCGUUAUUGUUAGGGUUUGGGAUGUGGUGGUGGUGCUAUGCUAAUAGGAAGAGAAGUGGUGUUGGUGGAGAUGAUGAGAGUAACAGUUGGGCUGAUAAGGUGAGGGCUUAUAAGCUUGUUCAGGUUUCUUUGUUUCAGAAGCCUCUUGUUAAGGUUAGGCUGGUUGAUUUGAUGAUUGCAACGAAUAAUUUUAGUAGAGAGAAUGUUAUAGUAUCGACUCAAACAGGAACAACUUAUAGAGCUGAUCUUUCGGAUGGUUCUACACUUGCGAUUAAGAGGCUUAAUGUUUGUAAGCUUCAUGAGAGGCAGUUUCGUGUGGAGAUGAACAAAUUAGGUCAGCUUAGACAUCCUAAUUUGACUCCUUUGUUGGGUUAUUGCAUUGCAGAAGAUGAGAAACUAUUGGUGUAUAAGUACAUGUCCAAUGGGACUUUAUCAUCGGUUUUACAUAAAAACGGGAACUUGUUAGAUUGGCCUACUAGGUUUAGGAUUGCGGUAAGUGCAGCAAGAGGUCUUGCUUGGCUUCACCAUGGUUGUCGCCCUGCGAUACUACUUCAACAUGUCAGCUCUGAUGUCAUAUUUCUAGAUGAAGAUUAUGAUGCAAGAAUAGUUGAUUUUGGAUUGGCUAGACUCUUGACUUCCUCUUCAGAUGAACCAAAUGAUGAGAUUACUUUUUAUAAUGGCAGUUCGGGUGAGUAUUCAAGCGGCAAUGUUGCUUCUGCGGAAGGCGAUACUUAUGGUUUUGGUGUAGUACUCAUGGAACUGGCAACUGGGCAGAAUCCUCUUAAACCAAUCGCAGCUGAAGAAGGGUUCAAGGGUAAUUUAGUAAACUGGGUAAACCGACUUUCUACAUCAGGACGAAUUGCGGAUGCCAUUGAUAAGAAUCUGUAUGGCAUAGGCCAUGAUGAUGAAAUUAUUCAAGUUCUUCGAAUUGCUGGUAAUUGUGUGGCUUCUCAACCCCAGUCAAGAUGGUCAAUGUAUCGGGUUUCUAAAGCAUUAAUCAACAUAGCUCAAGAACCAGGUGUCUCACAACAUUACGAUGAGUUUCCACUUCUUUUUGACUUAAAGGAUACGGACGAUAUCGUUUAACCUGUGGUGUUGAAGAUGUGUGAAGAAGAUUUGACUGUACAGUCAAACAAACCCAGCCACGCAAACCUUGUGCUAUCUUAUUGUUUUACCAAGUCUUUUAUAAAAAAAGUUGAGGUAUUGGAGCUUCAAUCAUUUUUAAGCACAAAGAGACCAAGAUCAUUUUGGUAGAACCAUGAGCUACUUUAUGUUAAUCCAAAAAAGUAAAAGUGGCGAAGCACAUGAGAAGGGAAAUGAAAAUGAAGGUGAGUGUUUUGUAUUUUGUACAACUCAUGCAUGCAACCUAAAGAAACAAAAGGUACCUUUAAAUUUUGAAUCUUUUUUACUUUAAGAAAUAGAGAAUACUGUUUCUUGAACCAUUCAAAAUCAGAUUCUAAAAACCACAUAAUGAAAACAUAAAAAAAUAAGAUUGGAAAGAAACCAUAAAGAUUAAAUAAGCAUAUGGAGAGUACAAUUGAUGUAUUCUUUCUUAUAUAACUUUUUAUUAAUUAUUAUGAAAAAUAUUAAAAGAUUAUGUCAGCUACUUUUUUUUAUUUGGGCAAUAAAACAGGAUUUAAUUUAUUUAUAAAUUAGUAUUCGUCUUUUGGAAAGACUUUGAGAACCCACCCGUACAUUUUAAACAGGUGUGCACGUCCGGUCACGCCAAAAGACGAGAUUGCCCACGGCCUCUAAUCCCGUGAGCUCCCAAAAAAAUGGUUCUAAGAAAGACCCACAUCUAUGGGCAUAAUGUUGAUGUAAAGCAUAGUGAAUGAAGACCAUAACUUUAAGCUGGUCAUAUCUCUAUUCAAAAGAAAAAAGAAAAGAUUUGUUGAAAGAAGAGAAGCUUUAAAAGAUUGAACAUGCUUUUUUUAGGGAACCCAACCCACUUAACAAGAGGAAUAAAGCCAACCCCUUUUAAAGCUCAAGACUAGCUAAAGCAAAGACCAUAACAAUGCAUCUUUACAUACCACCUACAAAAAAUGUAUGGAAAAGGGCCCCUCAUGACCGAUAAUAAGUAUUUCAUUCAUGUAAAACCAAACAUCCUAAUCAACCAUGAAUCUUUAAAUUCAAACCUUCAAAAAGCUUCUUCAAUCUUCAUGUAAAUUUUACACAACAUUCAUGUGUUAUCAAACACAUGUCAUGUACACAACUUGUCAAACCAAAUACCCUUCUCGUGGUUAUGCUCGAUUAGGAGGUUGUCUCGUAUCUCUUGUUCUCCUGAAA